UGUAAACACUGGCAAUGACACAGCAGCUGUUUAUAUAAAAAGCCAUAAAUUACAUCGUUCGUGCCCCAUGUAUAAAUGCACUUAUUUAUUCUCGUAAUAAGCCUAGAGCUCGAUUUAUACUAUUGUCUGAUUCACGCGAAAAUUAGCCAUCGAUCAAGGCUAACGAAAUCAAUUAAGGUGGCGGUUUUCCAAUAAGUAAAAAAAGCACAUUUCUUUUGUGGAGUUAAAUAAAUACUCCCUGAAUGUAUUCUUCCAAAAACUGCUAUUACGGUUAAGUGUUAUAAUAUUAGUUGCGGUGGUUUGUGUUUGAACUUGAAAACGAUUAAAAAAACUUUGAGGCUUUACACGAACGCCCUUCGACAGACGGUUGCCGGCACGAAGUCUAUGGAUCUUUUUCAAAUAGUUCAGACACAAACUACAGACACAGUGCUUGUUUUGUAGAUUACUUUUCACACUAGAACCCUGAGAUAACUCUUUCAUGUUGUUCAAACACAAACCACGACAGCUUCUUGUGAAGAAUACUACCUACACCAAACCCCAACGUUAACUAUAUCUUUUUCAAAUAGUUUAGACACAAAUCACGGCAGCUUAUUGUAAAAUAUUACCCACACACUGGAUCUCCACGUCCGAGAUAUCUUUUUCGGGUGUUUCAGGCAAAAACCACAAAAGCUUAUUGUAAAAAAUGACCUAUACCCUGGACUCUAUGUUUAUUCAAUUUUCUUUCUGAAUUCCUUAUUUUUAGAAGAGAAAAAAACAUUGAACGUAUUUUUAAAUCCGGUCAAAAUCUAUAUUUCUAAUUAAAAUUCUUGAGCUAUGAAGAAAUUCGCUAAAAUGGUCCUGACUCUUCUAUGCAUGGAUAAAAAAUGCGUAAAAGAUACUUUAAAUUAUGAAACAGGUGGUUUCUUUGUGCCUAUUACCAUUUUGUGGGCGAAAAUAAUCUGCACUAGAAUCUAACUGGGAAAUAAAGAGGUCGAUAUUUUGUUAUGCAUGCAUCACAGGAUCUCAGACUCGAGGCCAAUUACUCUUACUGGACCUCUAUAUAUAGAGAACAGUUUAGAACUGAUAAAGGUAUCCGGUAUAAAGUAUGUUUAGUUUGGGUUAAGUUUCCUCUUGUAGUAACACUGGACCAGGAAUUACUCUUACUGGACCACUAUAUAUAGAGAACAGUUUAGAACUGAUAAAGGUAUCCGCUAUAAAGUAUG